CACAUUUUAGGUGGAGGGAACAGCAUAGACGAAGGCAUGGGAACUUGAAUGUGUAUUUGUAUUGGGCACAGUGAGUAAUUCUGAGUAGAAGAGUAGAUGGGGCAGGGGAUGGGGGUGGCAGGAGAUGGGCCUGGAAAUCUGGGUCGUCAUCAACAGUUGUGGCCAAAUGACAGAAAGAUCGAGAUUGCAUUGCUUUUGGCCUGGUGCUCCACUGAACUUUGAUGCUGGCCUCAUUUUGCCUCCUAGAAGGAAAAAUGAGUAAGCACCAUCAAUAAUUAUCAUCUCCAGGGCUAAUAUAAGAACAUACCCAUCCAAGAGGGACCACUUCAUUCAUUCAAUCAACAAACAUCUAGCUUGUGAUACCAAAAGACAAAUGCAAUUGGUCAAAUAUACAGGAAAAAUAUGGACUGGGCAAGCCAUGGCUGUGAAGAACCUGUGGCUACACAGCCAAAGGAAAGCAAAAAAAAGGAAGAGAAAGGAGAGUGACCGAUGGGGUGCUACAGGCCGUCUGGGAGAGCAGAGAAGCCAGUCAGCCAGCAUGGAGAGAGAUCAGGAGGAUCAGAAGGGUGAAACAGGGAAGCAUUCUGGCGGGAGGCCCACCGCAG
rnacentral:lncRNA from 1 species